CGCACUGCACGGUAUCUGCACUCAGCAGUUCUUAAGACAGUGCGAUAGAAAUUCACUAUCUGGCAUCGUUGGUUUCUUGGCUUUGUGCAUGUUAAACCUGGUAUUUCUAAUGAUACAGUU